rnacentral:rRNA from 1 species
UACGUAGGAGGCGAGCGUUGUCCGGAGUUACUGGGCGUAAAGGGUGCGCAGGCGGCGGUUCGCGUGGCGAGAUGAAAUCUCCUGGCUUACCUGGGAGGGUGGUCGCCAGACGGGGAUCGCUUGAGGGUCGGGAGAGGGGGCGUGGGAAUUCCGGGUGGAGCGGUGAAAUGCGUAGAGAUCCGGAGGAACACCGACGGCGAGGC